rnacentral:rRNA from 1 species
UACGUAGGUGGCAAGCGUUGUCCGGAUUUACUGGGCGUAAAGAGCGCGCAGGCGGUCGUUCAAGUCGCGUGUGAAAGCCCCGGGCUCAACCUGGGAACUGCAUUCAAAACUGACAAGCUAGAGUAUGGUAGAGGUGGUGGAAUUUCCUGUGUAGCGGUGAAAUGCGUAGAUAUAGGAAGGAACACCAGUGGCGAAGGCGACCACCUGGACUGAUACUGACACUGAGGUGCGAAAGCGUGGGGAGCAAACAGG